CCUUGGUAAGCGCCACAAGUAACUAUUAGCGUGGGCUUUGAUAAGCGCCACACUAACUCUACGUGGGCCAUUUUAGUGCCACUAACUCUACGUGGGUCGUCAGCAUAUGUGAGCCGGGAUCCCAAAUAAAAUAUGGAUAUAAAUUAGAUUAUAGAAUUAGCCUUAUGUGUUAUAUGUUGUAUACCUCCUAUAUGAAUAUUUGUACCAUAGAGUGAUUAGGACGUAGAUCCUCACUCAGUGAUUAGCACUGACCCUUACUUUUCAUUUCAGA
rnacentral:lncRNA from 1 species